rnacentral:rRNA from 1 species
AUUGAACGCUGGCGGCAGGCUUAACACAUGCAAGUCGAGCGGAGACUUCGGUCUUAGCGGCGAACGGGUGAGUAAUACCUAGGAAUCUGCCUAUUAGUGGGGGAUAACGAAUCGAAAGGUUCGCUAAUACCGCAUACGUCCUACGGGAGAAAGGGGGGGAUCUUCGGACCUCUCGCUAAUAGAUGAGCCUAGGCCGGAUUAGCUAGUUGGUAGGGUAAAGGCCUACCAAGGCGACGAUCUGUAGCUGGUCUGAGAGGAUGGCCAGCCACACUGGAACUGAGACACGGUCCAGACUCCUACGGGAGGCAGCAGUGGGGAAUAUUGGACAAUGGGGGCAACCCUGAUCCAGCCAUGCCGCGUGUGUGAAGAAGGCCUUCGGGUUGUAAAGCACUUUAAGCGAGGAGGAAGGUUUUAGUUUAAUACACUAAAGAAUUGACGUUACUCGCAGAAUAAGCACCGGCUAACUCUGUGCCAGCAGCCGCGGUA